rnacentral:tRNA from 1 species
GGGGCGGUGGCGGAAUGGGUAGACGCCGUGGACUUAAAAUCCUCUGUCCGAAAGGACGUGUGGGUUCGAAUCCCACCCGCCCUA